rnacentral:lncRNA from 1 species
GUUCCAGGAACAAAAGGCUCUCCCUAAAAGACCGCCGCUUCAAAAAAACCUGAGGAAUGGAGUGGGCCAACACUAUCCAGCCACUCUGACCAGCCGAACGAGGAACUCAAUCAAAAUGAGCCAUAGCGGGACCACAAGGGCAAGGAGACCACCACCUUCUCCAGUCUCUCUUCGGACAGCCAGUAAUUCCCGGGCAAGGCCAGAGACUUCAA